rnacentral:rRNA from 1 species
GACAGAGGUGCCGAGCGUUAGGCGGAAUCACUGGGCUUAAAGCGUGUGUAGGCGGGUCCGUAAGUACCUUGUGAAAUCCCACGGCUCAACCGUGGAACUGCUUGGUAUACUGCGGGUCUUGAGCCACUUAGGGGCAAGCGGAACAAACGGUGGAGCGGUGAAAUGCGUAGAUAUCCGGAGGAACACCAAAGGCGAAGGCAGUGUCCUGGGGAGUACCUGACGCUCAGGUGCGAAAGCCAGGGGAGCGAACGGG